rnacentral:rRNA from 1 species
AGGUAAUUCCUGCCCAGUGACCUAACAAGUUCAACGGCCGCGGUAUCCUAACCGUGCAAAGGUAGCAUAAUCACUUGCCCAUUAAUUGUGGGCUAUAAUGAAAGGACUAACAAAAUAUACACUGUCUCUAUAAGUAGCAUAAAAAUUAAUCUCUAACUGAAGAGUGUUAGAUAUAAUCGAAGGACAAGAAAACCCUAUAUAGCUUUAUUUAAUAAAAGUAUAAUCUAACUUUUUAUAAUUCGGUUGGGGCGACCAGGGAAAUAAUAAAUCAUCCCUCAUUAUAAGAUAAAUAAAUCUCUCCUAUGACCCUUGAAAAAGAUCAAAAAACUAAACUACCUUAGGGAUAACAGGCUAAUCCUAUUAAAGAGUCCUUAUCAAUAAUAGGGUUUGGCACCUCAAUGUUGGCUUAGGGAAUCUAUAUGGCACAAAAGUCAUAUAAAGAUGGUUUGUUCAACCAAUAAUACCCUACAUGAUCUGAGGUCACACCGGA